rnacentral:rRNA from 1 species
GUGGGGAAUUUUGCGCAAUGGGCGAAAGCCUGACGCAGCGACGCCGCGUGGAGGAUGAAGGUCUUCGGAUUGUAAACUCCUUUUGUAGGGGAAGAUAAUGACGGUACCCUAUGAAUAAGCCACGGCUAACUCUGUGCCAGCAGCCGCGGUAAGACAGAGGUGGCAAGCGUUGUUCGGAAUUACUGGGCUUAAAGGGCGCGUAGGUGGUGGCAUAAGUCCGGGGUGGAAGGCUAAGGCUUAACCUUAGAAUUGCCCUGGAAACUGUAUCACUUGAGUCAGCGAGGGGAUGGCGGAAUUCCUGGUGUAGCGGUGAAAUGCGUAGAUAUCAGGAGGAAGGCCGGUGGCGAAGGCGGCCAUCUGGCGCUGAACUGACACUGAGGCGCGAAAGCGUGGGGAGCAAACAGGAUUAGAUACCCCAGUAGUCC